CAGUCGCCGCGGGAAUACGAAGGGUGCAAGCGUUAAUCGGAAUUACUGGGCGUAAAGCGUGCGUAGGUGGUGAGUUAAGUCUGCUGUGAAAUCCCCGGGCUCAACCUGGGAAUGGCAGUGGAUACUGGCUCGCUAGAGUGUGUCAGAGGAUGGUGGAAUUCCCGGUGUAGCGGUGAAAUGCGUAGAGAUCGGGAGGAACAUCAGUGGCGAAGGCGGCCAUCUGGGACAACACUGACGCUGAGGCACGAAAGCGUGGGGAGCAAACAGGAUUAGAUACCCCAGUAGUCCCUGUCUCUUAUAC
rnacentral:rRNA from 1 species